GGGGGCGAUCCGGCUUCGACGGGAGUUAAGAGACGAAAGUCGCAUGCACGGGAUGCCGUUGGCCCGUGAAAAAACGGCAAAAACAUAAUCGCCAACGAUUAUGAAGUAGCAGUAGCCGCCUAACAAAAUAAAGCGGUUACCGUCCUUUCCUUUUUCGUCCGCGGGAGGGAAAAGGGCGUCAUUCAGCGGACUGGUCCGACCCGUAUGUCUCGGGCGGUGAGGACGAGAACUUACGAGACUGGCGCUUGUUUAAUCCCGCCCGCGGGAGUUGACCGGCGCGAGAUUCCAAACGCGGGAUAAGCAUGUAGACGCUUUCUGUUGAAGACUUUCGGACGGGGGUUCAAUUCCCCCCGCCUCCACCA
rnacentral:tmRNA from 1 species